rfam:Schistosoma haematobium scaffold718_14, whole genome shotgun sequence.
AUCCAGCUGACGAGUCCCGAAUAGGGUGGAACGCGCGUCCGAGAU